rnacentral:misc_RNA from 1 species
UCCGGUUUAACACCGGCAGUCUCCCCAGAGUGCCCAACUUAAUGCUGGCAACUAAGGAUAAGGGUUGCGCUCGUUGCGGGACUUAACCCAACAUCUUACGACACGAGCUGACGACAGCCAUGCAGCAUCUGUCACCGAGUCCCCGAAGGGAACACCGCAUCUCUGCGGCUGUCUCGGGAUGUCAAGGCCAGGUAAGGUUCUGCGCGUUGCUUCGAAUUAAACCACAUACUCCACCGCUUGUGCGGGCCCCCGUCAAUUCCUUUGAGUUUUAGCCUUGCGACCGUACUCCCCAGGCGGAUUACUUAAUGCGUGAGCUACGGUACCCAAAAAGUUAGUAUUUCGAGCACCUAGUAAUCAUCGUUUACGGCGUGGACUAC